CACCUUCUAAUUUCCCCAGCCAGCAGGCACUGGGGACCAAGUAUUCAGAUACUGGAGACUUGUGGGAGACAUUCAAACUACCACAUAGAGGUGCCCGUGUCCUUCAACGCUGACAGCAGCCAGCAGCCUCCACAGAGGAGUCAUUAGAAAAGAAAAUACUUCCGUACUGAGGCUAUCAAAGGCUGAAUAGCAGCACCCCGACCUGGAGGAUCAUUCCCUCUCAUGUGUUUUCUGAUGGUUUGGCAACGCUGCUUCCCAAACAUCUGCAGUAAACAUCCCCCACCACAGGUG